UAACUGAUCAGGUAGUGACGGUAUCCACCAGAAAGCCACGGCUAACUACGUGCCAGCAGCCGCGGUAAUACGUAGGUGGCAAGCGUUGUCCGGAUUUAUUGGGCGUAAAGCGAGCGCAGGCGGUUUCUUAAGUCUGAUGUGAAAGCCUUCGGCUCAACCGAAGAAGUGCAUCGGAAACUGGGAAACUUGAGUGCAGAAGAGGACAGUGGAACUCCAUGUGUAGCGGUGAAAUGCGUAGAUAUAUGGAAGAACACCAGUGGCGAAGGCGGCUGUCUGGUCUGUAACUGACGCUGAGGCUCGAAAGCAUGGGUAGCAAACAGGAUUAGAUACCCUGGUAGUCCAUGCCGUAAACGAUGAGUGCUAGGUGUUGGAGGGUUUCCGCCCUUCAGUGCCGCAGCUAACGCAUUAAGCACUCCGCCUGGGGAGUACGACCGCAAGGUUGAAACUCAAAGGAAUUGACGGGGGCCCGCACAAGCGGUGGAGCAUGUGGUUUAAUUCGAAGCAACGCGAAGAACCUUACCAGGUCUUGACAUCCUUUGACCACUCUAGAGAUAGAGCUUUCCCUUCGGGGACAAAGUGACAGGUGGUGCAUGGUUGUCGUCAGCUCGUGUCGUGAGAUGUUGGGUUAAGUCCCGCAACGAGCGCAACCCUUAUUACUAGUUGCCAGCAUUUAGUUGGGCACUCUAGUGAGACUGCCGGUGACAAACCGGAGGAAGGUGGGGACGACGUCAAAUCAUCAUGCCCCUUAUGACCUGGGCUACACACGUGCUACAAUGGAUGGUACAACGAGUUGCGAGACCGCGAGGUUUAGCUAAUCUCUUAAAACCAUUCUCAGUUCGGAUUGUAGGCUGCAACUCGCCUACAUGAAGCCGGAAUCGCUAGUAAUCGCGGAUCAGCAUGCCGCGGUGAAUACGUUCCCGGGCCUUGUACACACCGCCCGUCACACCAUGAGAGUUUGUAACACCCAAAGCCGGUGAGGUAACCCUUCGGGAGCCAGCCGUCUAAG
rnacentral:rRNA from 1 species